rnacentral:rRNA from 1 species
CAGCCGCCACGGGAAUACGUAGGUGGCAAGCGUUGUCCGGAAUUAUUGGGCGUAAAGGGCUCGCAGGCGGUUUCUUAAGUCUGAUGUGAAAGCCCCCGGCUCAACCGGGGAGGGUCAUUGGAAACUGGGAAACUUGAGUGCAGAAGAGGAGAGUGGAAUCCCACGUGUAGCGGUGUAAUGCGUAGAGAUGUGGAGGAACACCAGUGGCGAAGGCGACUCUCUGGUCUGUAACUGACGCUGAGGAGCGAAAGCGUGGGGAGCGAACAGGAUUAGAUACCCGAGUAGUCCCUGUCUCUUAUAC